UACGAAGGGGGCUAGCGUUGUUCGGAUUUACUGGGCGUAAAGCGCACGUAGGCGGAUCUUUAAGUCAGAGGUGAAAUCCCAAGGCUCAACCUUGGAACUGCCUUUGAUACUGGGGAUCUUGAGUCCGGGAGAGGUGAGUGGAACUGCGAGUGUAGAGGUGAAAUUCGUAGAUAUUCGCAAGAACACCAGUGGCGAAGGCGGCUCACUGGCCCGGUACUGACGCUGAGGUGCGAAAGCUGGGGAGCAAACAGG
rnacentral:rRNA from 1 species